rnacentral:rRNA from 1 species
AGUGAACGCUGGCGGCAGGCCUAAUACAUGCAAGUCGAACGGCAGCACAGCAGAGCUUGCUCUGUGGGUGGCGAGUGGCGGACGGGUGAGGAAUACAUGGGAAUCUGCCCAGUCGUGGGGGAUAACGUAUGGAAACGUACGCUAAUACCGCAUGCGCCCUACGGGGGAAAGCCGGGGACCGCAAGGCCUGGCGCGAUUGGAUGAGCCCAUGUUCGAUUAGCUAGUUGGCGGGGUAAAGGCCCACCAAGGCGACGAUCGAUAGCUGGUCUGAGAGGAUGAUCAGCCACACUGGAACUGAGACACGGUCCAGACUCCUACGGGAGGCAGCAGUAGGGAAUAUUGGACAAUGGGGGCGAACCCUCGAUCCAGCCAUGCCGCGUGAGUGAAGAAGGCCCUCGGGUUGUAAAGCUCUUUUGUCCGGAAAGAAAAGCAUCUGGUUAAUAC